rnacentral:lncRNA from 1 species
UAGCACUAUAUAUAUAUAAAAUUUAGAAUUUAAUAAGAAUAUUUAAAAUAGUAUUUAGGAUUUACUUAUAAUAAUAUUUACAAUUCAAUGAUAAUAUAUCAACUCAUCAAUAGUACUGUAGAAUACCUUAUAAGGACCUGUCAGCUAUAAUAGCACUAUAACAAAAAAUAAUAAUAAUACUUUCGUACUAUGAAUGUGACUUUUAGAAUAUAUCUGAUACACAUGCGAAUAUAUCAGUUGGUAUGUAUUUCAUAUAAAUGUUAGUGCAUUAACAAUAUUUUAAAAAAUAUUUAUAAAUAUAUCUCUAAAC